rnacentral:lncRNA from 1 species
UUGUAACUUCGCAUGUACUUGUAUUAAAAAAAAUGUAUAAAUGUUCGAAAUCUUGACUAGAAUUAAACAGAAGCUAAGUGAGUGUGUCCCGUGGUGUUUGGAGUGACAUUCACCACUGCAGCCUGUGUUGGCAAGGCCAGGGUGUGGGCGAUGCAAGCAAGGCACCACUCAAGAUCCCUGAGCUCCUGCGGCGGCCCGUGUCCCGUGCACCUGCUCCCAGUCCUGCCUUCAGCAUACUCCCGGUCACACGCUGGCUCCUCCCUGCUGCCUUUUCAUUUUUUUCACAAAUGUGCUAGAAACUGGGUAAAUGGCAGAGACACUUAAUUGCAGCAGAGGAAGACAGUCCUUGUGCCCUGGAAGCUUUUUUUCUGCCCUAGACUUUGAAAUAGAGGAUUUUCUUGACUAAAUUGCAACCUACCAAGCUCUCAAGUACCAACUUGAUUGCCCCCCCUGCCCCACCCCCAAUCUCAGGUUAUAAACUCUCCCAGACCCUGGGAGCCCCAGUGACAGUCACUCCCUUUGGACUGAAAUUCUACACCUUAGGUCUAAAAGGCCCCUCAUUUGUCACAGUCCUUCAGCUCCUGCUUCGCCCAUUUCCUGCCUUCUUCGAGACCAUCAGGCCCUAGGGGCGCUCUUGAACUUCCUUGGCGGGUUUUCCUCGGCAGCUGAAAUGUAACAACAGCAGGAAGUAAUCACAGAAGUGACAGUUGUUGAAAUUACAAUUAUUUGUUAAUACUUCAGGAAAUGCCAAUAUCCUGCAGAGAUCAGAGCAUCAACUUUGUACUGAAAAUGGGAAGAUGGAAGUCAGCCUGUUGAAUCCCCAUCAUUCACCAAACUCCGAGAACAAGCAACAGCCACCAAGUCUCCAAGGCAUUCCUCGUCCGAAGUCAUCUCUACAGACUUCCAGCUCAAGAUCGCUACCUUCUCCACACUUGGAUAAUCCCUGCCUGGGACAUACCCUCGCCAACACUGAGCCAACAGACUGUUUCAUGGAUCACAAAUACCAGCAACCACAACAUAGGACCAUCAUUU